rnacentral:snRNA from 1 species
AGCUUUGCACAGGGGCAGUAUCGUAGCCAAUGAGGUUUAUCCAAGGCGUGAUUAUUGCUAAUUGAAAACUUUUCUCAAAAC